rnacentral:rRNA from 1 species
CUAGCCUGCUCNCUGACAUAAAGUGUUAAAUAGCCGCGGUAUCUUGACCGUGCAAAGGUAGCAUAAUCAUUAGUUUCUUAAUUGGAAACUUGUAUGAAUGGUUGGACAAAGAAAAAUCUGUCUCUUGCACUGAAAUUGAAUUUAACUUCUAAGUGAAAAGGCUUAGAUUAUCCAGAGGGACGAUAAGACCCUAUAAAGCUUUAUAAAUUUAUUAAUUUCGUUUAUUUUUUAUUAUAAUAAUGAUGAUAAGAGAAUUUAUUUGGUUGGGGCAACCGAAGUAUAAUUUUAAAUAACUGCUAUAAUUUAAUACAAUGAUUUUUGUCUUAUACAAUAAUUGAUCCUCAAAGAGAUUAAAGACCAAGUUACUUUAGGGAUAACAGCGUAAUUUAUCCUGAGAGUUCUUAUCAAAGGAAAAGUUUGCGACCUCGAUGUUGAAUUAAAAUGUCUACCUAGUGCAGCAGCUAGGAAAGAAGGUCUGUUCGACCUUUAAUUUUUUACAUGAUC